rnacentral:tRNA from 2 species
GCCCCGCUAGCCCAACUGGAAGAGGCGCUGGAUUUAGGCUCCAGAGGUUGGGGGUUCGACUCCCUCGCGGGGUA